GGCCCAGUGGUACAGUUGGUUAGCACGCCGCCCUGUCACGGCGGAGGUCGAGGGUUCGAGUCCCUUCUGGGUCGCUA
rnacentral:tRNA from 1 species